GCGGGGGUAGCUCAGACGGUAGAGCGCUAGCCUUCCAAGCUGGAUGUCGCGGGUUCGAAUCCCGUCCCCCGCU
rnacentral:tRNA from 1 species